rnacentral:rRNA from 1 species
UACGAAGGGUGCAAGCGUUGCUCGGAAUUAUUGGGCGUAAAGGGUAGGUAGGUGGUUACGUAUGUCCGAGGUGAAAGCCCUGAGCUUAACUUAGGAAGUGCCUUGGAAACGGCGUAACUAGAGUACUGGAGAGGUUUGUAGAAUUCCCGGUGUAGCGGUGAAAUGCGUAGAGAUCGGGAGGAAUACCAGAGGCGAAGGCGGCAAACUGGACAGUAACUGACACUGAACUACGAAAGCGUGGGGAGCAAACAGG